rnacentral:rRNA from 1 species
ACGGAGAGUUUGAUCCUGGCUCAGGAUGAACGCUGGCGGCGUGCUUAACACAUGCAAGUCGAACGAUUAAACUGGCUUCGGCCAGAUAUAGAGUGGCGAACGGGUGAGUAACACGUGACCAACCUGCCCCGCGCUCCGGGACAACCGCUGGAAACGGCGGCUAAUACCGGAUGCUCCGGGGAGGCCCCAUGGCCUCCCCGGGAAAGCCUUAACGGCGCGGGAUGGGGUCGCGGCCCAUUAGGUAGACGGCGGGGUAACGGCCCACCGUGCCCGCGAUGGGUAGCCGGACUGAGAGGUCGACCGGCCACAUUGGGACUGAGAUACGGCCCAGACUCCUA